GGACUGCCUAUCCUCUAGGAAAGGACAUCAGUUAACAAAUCCUUCUGCCUGAACAGAGUCCUGCUCAGGCAUGUACAACAUUCUUCUCACACACACACACCUCCCAAAUCUUCACAUACCAUGACAACUUAAUGUAUGUUACUAUUUCAGGGUUAUCACUCCUCUGGUAUCUGAUUCUGACACGAUGCUGCUAUCACCAGCUUCUGAAACAAGGGUGUCCUGGGGAUGGCUGAGUCUGGCCUGAUAUCAGCAUUGAAGAGUCUGUUGGCAUCAUAACACCCAUUUUUAGAAGAAAACUGUUUUCUCCUUCUUUACAUCGUCUCAGGCUUGCUCAAUGCUUUGAAGGAUACCAAUAUGACUUCAUCCUUGAAGAGCCGAAGCUUCUGUGUUCCUAGAUCUUUGAGAGUCUACAUAAGCAUCAGCAGAUUCUUCCUUAUCCAGUAUUGAUAUUCUCCAAGCAGUCUACAGCUACCUUGAAGUGUACUGCCAAACCUGGAUAUAUCAGCUUAGCUUUCAUCUCAUCGUUGUCAAGGAAAGUCUCCUAUGUAACCACUCUGUUUAUACAUUGCAGAAUUAUGUUUGAAGCUGCUUCCUCUUUGCUCUAAAGACACACUUGACCUGCCAGAGAGAUCUGAAGUUUUGCUUACAAUAUACAACAUAAAAUGCAUUUAGUUUAUGUUUUGACAUUCCAUUCCAUUUCAACCAUAAUUCUGUGGUAAACACACAAUGAAAAAGCUGGUAUUCUUGGCUCCCAUGAGGGUAUUCAGGUCUCAAAAUUGAACAGUUGACACAUCUGCAAGCAAAAAAAAAAACAAACAAAAAAGCACUGGUGCAGCUAACCCAAAAGUCAGGGCUGGAAAGCCCAAACUAAAGCAAGAAACAACAGCUAAAUUAAAAAUUGUUAAGGAAAAUAAAGAGUAGGCAGUUCUUCAGCUGUAUAAAUAAGAAGGAACCAAGAGAAAAGAAAUUAUGCCACUAUGUAGCCAGUGGAGUUCAGAUAAAAAUAACCCAGAUAUGGCAGCAAAACGAAUGACCAGGCAUUUGGGAUAAGAUUCAUCUGACCUGUUUCAGCUGUUCCCUCCGAGAAACACUUUCAAAAACGCUUGCUUCUCUCCGCUUAUCUAAGACAGACUGUGGCACCCACAUGAGUGCCCAUGGAGACUUUCAGGUAAGCACCAGAGCCACAACCCAAGCAAUUUUCAGAAGCUUCAACAAGCUCCAGCAGGGGACACAGUAGAGGCAGCCUUGGCCACUUCAGGAAAGCAGAGCGAAACAGAACGUGCUUCAUCAAAAAUAAGUGUUUGUUUUAUUAUCCUCACUUCCUUGGCUUUUUUUCCUGCUAUAAAAUCGUCAUGUGUUUGUACAAUAUUCUUAUUCUGGGAAUGUAUUUCUGUCCACAUAAACAUCUGCACUUAGUUAUGUUAGCCAGUAUCCAAAUCCCAGCAAGAUCCUGCCCUGAUUAUUUAGCUCUGACUGUUUUUGCCAGCUUCUAUUCCCAGAAUACAGCGGAUUUAUGGCUAUGUCCAACCUCCAGCUUUGCUAGUUAGAAGAUCGUAACACACAUGCUCAAACUGAACGUCUGUUGUACUGGGACAAAGUCUUUCCAGCAGGCUCAAGUAACUAGCUGUUAAAUUGUGCUAGCAUACAUUAGCAGCAGGAAACUGAACUAUUGUUGGAUGCCAUUUCUUGGUCUGUAUUUUUAAUCAUACUGUUUUGACCUACAUCUUUUGUCUGCUUUCCUUGAUAUCCAACCAUAAAAUACAACCCUUGAUUCAAAUACCAAUAAAACCUGUUGUUGCAAUUUUGCAUAACUCAGUGCAAAAGAACCCAGAUCUCAAGUAAAUAAACUGGUAAAUCAA